CCUACGGGGGGCAGCAGUGGGGAAUAUUGCGCAAUGGAGGAAACUCUGACCCAGCAAUGCCGCGUGAAUGAAGAAGGUCUUCGGAUCGUAAAGUUCUUUAGUCAGGGACGAAUAAAAUGACGGUACCUGAAGAAUAAGCUCCGGCUAACUACGUGCCAGCAGCCGCGGUAAUACGUAAGGAGCAAGCGUUGUUCGGAAUGACUGGGCGUAAAGGGUGCGUAGGCGGGUAUACAAGUAAGAAGUGAAAUACCCAGGGCUUAACUCGGGUGCUGCUUCUAAAACUAUAAGGCUUGAGUGCAGUAGAGGUUAGUGGAAUUCCGAGUGUAGCGGUGGAAUGCGUAGAUAUUAGGAAGAACACCAGAGGCGAAGGCGGCUAACUGGACUGAAACUGACGCUGAGGCACGAAAGUGUGGGGAGCGAACAGGAUUAGAUACCCUGGUAGUC
rnacentral:rRNA from 1 species